UACAGAGGGUGCCAGCGUUGUUCGGAAUUACUGGGCGUAAAGCGUGCGCAGGCGGUUUUGUAAGCCAGAUGUGAAAUCCCCGGGCUUAACCUGGGAAUGGCAUUUGGGACUGCAAGGCUGGAGUGCGGCAGAGGAGACUGGAAUUCCUGGUGUAGCGGUGAAAUGCGUAGAUAUCGAGAGGAACACCUGCGGCGAAGGCGGGUUGCUGGGCCGACACUGACGCUGAUGCGCGAAAGCCAGGGGAGCGAACGGG
rnacentral:rRNA from 1 species